rnacentral:rRNA from 1 species
UACGUAGGGGGCGAGCGUUGUCCGGAUUUACUGGGCGUAAAGCGCGUGUAGGCGGCCCGUUAAGUUGGGUGUGAAAGCCCGGGGCUCAACCCCGGGAUGCAGCCCAAGACUGGCGGGCUUGAGGACGGAAGAGGGGCGUGGAAUUCCUGGUGUAGCGGUGAAAUGCGUAGAGAUCAGGAGGAACACCCGUGGCGAAGGCGGCGCCCUGGUCCGUUACUGACGCUGAGAUGCGAAAGCGCGGGGAGCGAACGGG